rnacentral:rRNA from 1 species
GAUGAACGCUGGCGGCGUGCCUAAUACAUGCAAGUCGAGCGAACAGACGAGGAGCUUGCUCCUCUGAUGUUAGCGGCGGACGGGUGAGUAACACGUGGAUAACCUACCUAUAAGACUGGGAUAACUUCGGGAAACCGGAGCUAAUACCGGAUAACAUGUUGAGCCGCAUGGUUCAACAGUGAAAGACGGUCUUGCUGUCACUUAUAGAUGGAUCCGCGCCGCAUUAGCUAGUUGGUAAGGUAACGGCUUACCAAGGCAACGAUGCGUAGCCGACCUGAGAGGGUGAUCGGCCACACUGGAACUGAGACACGGUCCAGACUCCUACGGGAGGCAGCAGUAGGGAAUCUUCCGCAAUGGGCGAAAGCCUGACGGAGCAACGCCGCGUGAGUGAAGAAGGUCUUCGGAUCGUAAAACUCUGUUAUUAGGGAAGAACAAAUGUGUAAGUAACUAUGCACGUCUUGACGGUACCUAAUCAGAAAGCCACGGCUAACUACGUG